AUCACAAGCAUUGCCUAGCUCUUCCCCAUGUUUCUGUGUGCCCCUUGAACAUGACUUUACUGUUCUUCCAUCAAGAGAGUCUUUCGCUGGGCAUGGUGAUACCCAGCACUUGGGAGGCUGCAGCAAGAGGAUUUUGAGUUCAAGGCCAGCGGGGACAGCACAGUGAAACUCUAUACAAAAACAAGCCAAGAGGUGGAGUCUUUUUCUUCUCUGGAUCUUGGUAAACAGGAUGUUAGAAAACGUAACACAGAGGCUUGACAGUUUGGUCGUAGAUUCUUGUGCAUUUCCAGCUGUCUCAGACUAAUAUGUAAAGAGGUGGAACUAGCUUCCGGGGGCCAGGCGGCAGCUCCACAGCCCACACUAAAAACAGUCCGCUGCCAGAUGACUGACUGCAGACAAGCGAGGGAUCCCAGACAGGUUCUCUUAUGGAAGAUUUGUGUUUUCUAUCAAAUCCCAUCUCUGACACACACUCGCCACUAUCUGGACCUUAUAUAAGCUCCUAUAGAUUAUCCUGCUAACAGAAUGCCAUAAAAUAUUCAGACUGUCUUUUGAUAUUCUCAUCCAGCAGCCCCUGAGUGCCAACUUCAUGCUCGGAACUGCUAUAGAAGCACUUCACCAAUGAGGAGCAUUACUUAUUAACAGAUUAUAUCCAUUCAAAAACUAUACUGUUUCUGGACUGGUAAA